rnacentral:rRNA from 1 species
AAUAAACGCUGGCGGCGUGCCUAACACAUGCAAGUCGAGCGCCCCGCAAGGGGAGCGGCAGACGGGUGAGUAACGCGUGGGAAUCUACCCAUCCCUACGGAAUAGCUCCGGGAAACUGGAAUUAAUACCGUAUACGCCCUACGGGGGAACGAUUUAUCGGGGAUGGAUGAGCCCGCGUUGGAUUAGCUAGUUGGUGGGGUAAAGGCCUACCAAGGCGACGAUCCAUAGCUGGUCUGAGAGGAUGAUCAGCCACAUUUGGACUGAGACACGGCCCAAACUCCUACGCGAGGCAGGAGAGGGGAAAAUUGGACAGUGGUGGCAACCCUGAUCCAGCCAUGCCGCGUGAGUACUGAAGGCCUUAGGGUUGUAAAGCUCUUUCACCGGGGAAGGUAAUGACGGUACCCGGAGAAGAAGCCCCGGCUAACUUCGUGCCAGCCGCCGCCGUAA